rnacentral:tRNA from 2 species
CGUUAGCUCAGUUGGUAGAGCAGUUGGCUUUUAACCAAUUGGUCGCUGGUUCGAGCCCAGCACG